rnacentral:misc_RNA from 1 species
GGACUACCCGGGUUUCUAAUCCUGUUUGAUCCCCACACUUUCGUGCCUCAGCGUCAGUUACAGCCUAGUAAGCUGCCUUCGCUAUAGGUGUUCUUGACGAUAUCUAAGCAUUUCACCGCUACACCGUCAAUUCCGCCUACCUCAUCUGUACUCUAGCUCCACAGUAUCAAUGCCACCCUCCCAGUUAAGCCGGGAUAUUUCAGCACUGACUUAUACGGCCGCCUACGCACCCUUUAAACCCAAUAAAUCCGGACAACGCUUGCCACCUACGUAUUACCGCGGCGGCUGGCAC